UUUUGCUGAAAUUGAGAAAGAAGAAAGCCAUUGUUAGAAUUUGAAGCUUCAGCCAAGCUUCCAUGUAUGCAUGUGGAUCAACUCUUAUGAGCUUCUGUUGGCAUGUUUUGGGUGGACUAGCUCUUAUGAGCUUUUGUUUGGCGUAUUUUAGUUGGAUCAGCUCUUAUGAGCUUCUGUUUGUUGUGUUCGGUCUAUCUGAUGAUGUACUCUUACCCGUAAGUCAUUCUUCGAAUGGAAAAUCUCGAUUAUCGGAAGCUCGAUCGGGUUGGAAGCUAGUUGGAGAUACAUCACACUGUCCAUCGAUUUUUUUUUAUUGGUAGAUUUUUGAUGUUUUGGCAGUGGUUAUAAUGACAUGUAUAGGUGGACUAUGUUUAAUGUUUAAUUAAUGAGUUUUGCAUAUAUAUGUCAUUUUGGUUAAGGAUUAUGGUAUGAAAUGUUGCCUUGGAUUUGAAGUACUU